GACGAACGCUGGCGGCGUGCUUAACACAUGCAAGUCGAACGGGAAACCGGGAACCGAAGUUUUCGGAUGGAGGGGAACGGUUUUUAGUGGCGGACGGGUGAGUAACGCGUGAGUGACCUGUCCUGCAGAGGGGGAUAACAACGGGAAACCGUUGCUAAUACCGCAUGAGACCACGGUAUCGCAUGGUAGAGUGGUAAAAGGGGAAAUCCGCUGCAGGAGGGGCUCGCGUCCCAUUAGAUAGUUGGUGAGGUAACGGCUCACCAAGUCAGCGAUGGGUAGCCGGACUGAGAGGUUGAACGGCCACACUGGGACUGAGACACGGCCCAGACUCCUACGGGAGGCAGCAGUGGGGAAUAUUGGGCAAUGGGCGAAAGCCUGACCCAGCAACGCCGCGUGAAGGAAGAAGGUCUUCGGAUUGUAAACUUCUGUCAUUGGGGACGAAAAAAAUGACGGUACCCGAUGAGGAAGCCCCGGCUAACUACGUGC
rnacentral:rRNA from 1 species